GACGAACGCUGGCGGCGUGCCUAAUACAUGCAAGUAGAACGCUGAAGAGAGGAGCUUGCUCUUCUUGGAUGAGUAGCGAACGGGUGAGUAACGCGUAGGUAACCUGCCUUGUAGCGGGGGAUAACUAUUGGAAACGAUAGCUAAUACCGCAUAACAAUGGAUGACACAUGUCAUUUAUUUGAAAGGGGCAAUUGCUCCACUACAAGAUGGACCUGCGUUGUAUUAGCUAGUAGGUGAGGUAAUGGCUCACCUAGGCGACGAUACAUAGCCGACCUGAGAGGGUGAUCGGCCACACUGGGACUGAGACACGGCCCAGACUCCUACGGGAGGCAGCAGUAGGGAAUCUUCGGCAAUGGGGGCAACCCUGACCGAGCAACGCCGCGUGAGUGAAGAAGGUUUUCGGAUCGUAAAGCUCUGUUGUAAGUCAAGAACGGGUGUGAGAGUGGAAAGUUCACACUGUGACGGUAGCUUACCAGAAAGGGACGGCUAACUACGUG
rnacentral:rRNA from 1 species